rnacentral:rRNA from 1 species
CAGUAGCCGCGGUAAUACGGAGGGUGCAAGCGUUAAUCGGAAUUACUGGGCGUAAAGCGCACGCAGGCGGUCUGACAAGUCAGAUGUGAAAUCCCCGGGCUUAACCUGGGAACUGCAUUUGAAACUGUCAGGCUGGAGUCUUGUAGAGGGGGGUAGAAUUCCAGGUGUAGCGGUGAAAUGCGUAGAGAUCUGGAGGAAUACCGGUGGCGAAGGCGGCCCCCUGGACAAAGACUGACGCUCAGGUGCGAAAGCGUGGGGAGCAAACAGGAUUAGAUACCCGGGUAGUCCCUGUCUCUUAUAC